rnacentral:piRNA from 1 species
UGGCCUCAGGUCCCUGGGAUGGUAUUUGG